GCCUCGGUGGAGUCGCUGGUAGGCAGUUGGACUAAUUAUCCAAAGGUCGUAGUUCGAAUCCCGGGGUG
rnacentral:tRNA from 1 species